GGUCACCUAAUACACGGAAUUAUGAAAACAUAAAACAUAUUCCAAUCUAAAACUGUCAAUAUUGGUUUUCAUAGAAAGAAGUACAAUUUAAUAUUUAUCUUUUAACACCUAGAUAUAUGUUUAUACAUGGAAACAAAUUAUCAGAAAAAUUAUUAUACAUUUAAUGUCUUUUAUGAAAAGUACUUAUUUCUUUGACGCUGACCUGAUGAUGGCCUAGUGCCGAAAUCGAUUGUCUUAGAAUACAAUUAUAUAAAUAAGUGUGUCUUCCAUUUUCUUUCCUAAUUCAUCACCAGACACACUCAUGGAGUUUUUCGUUAAGAAAA